CUAAAUAUGAUAUAUAUAUAGCAUGCAUUUAAAUUUGAAAUUUAAACUUCUACAGUAAAUGUUUUACUAUUAUGUAUUCAGAAUACAUUACCUUCGUGCAGAUAGUCGAUCGUUAUAGUCUGAUCACCAUCGAAAAGGUCUGAUCAUCAUAAUAUAGCCACACAGUAUGUUUGGCCUCUGUGGAUCAUCCACAUGAAGCUUCCAGUCUGAUCGGCUCCUCACG
rnacentral:lncRNA from 1 species